UACGGAGGGUGCGAGCGUUGUUCGGAAUCACUGGGCGUAAAGCGCGUGUAGGCGGCUUCUUAAGUCUGGUGUGAAAUCCCGGGGCUCACCCCCGGAAGUGCACUGGAUACUUGGAAGCUCGAGUACCGGAGAGGAGGGUGGAAUUCCUGGUGUAGCGGUGAAAUGCGUAGAUAUCAGGAGGAACACCUGUGGCGAAGGCGGCCCUCUGGACGGAUACUGACGCUGAGACGCGAAAGCGUGGGGAGCAAACAGG
rnacentral:rRNA from 1 species